CGUACAGGGUGCGUAGGCGGUUGUGUAAGUUUGAGGUUAAAGCCCGGAGCUCAACUCCGGUUCGCCUUGAAAACUACAUAACUAGAAUGCAAGAGAGGUAAAUGGAAUUCCAUGUGUAGCGGUAAAAUGCGUAGAUAUAUGGAAGAACACCUGUGGCGAAAGCGGUUUACCAGCUUGUUAUUGACGCUGAGGCACGAAAGCGUGGGGAGCAAAUAGGAUUAGAUACCCUAGUAGUCCACGCCGUAAACGUUGAGUACUAGGUGUCGGGAAUUAUCUCGGCGCCGCAGCUAACGCAUUAAGUACUCCGCCUGAGUAGUAUGCACGCAAGUGUGAAACUCAAAGGAAUUGACGGGGACCCGCACAAGUGGUGGAGCAUGUGGUUUAAUUCGAAGCAACACGAAGAACCUUACCAGGGCUUGACAUCCAGUGCAAAGGCAUAGAGAUAUGCUGGAGGCUAACAUUGAGACAGGUGGUGCAUGGUUGUCGUCAGUUCGUGCCGUGAGGUGUUUGGUUAAGUCCAGCAACGAACGCAACCCUUGUCAUUAGUUACUAACAUUAAGUUGAGGACUCUAAUGAGACUGCUAGUGUAAGCUAGAGGAAGGUGGGGAUGACGUCAAAUCAUCAUGCCCCUUAUGUCCUGGGCUACACACGUGCUACAAUGGCUGAUACAAAGAGUCGCAAUCUCGUAAGGAGGAGCUAAUCUCAUAAAGUCAGUCUCAGUUCGGAUUGAGGGCUGCAACUCGCCCUCAUG
rnacentral:rRNA from 1 species